UUGUAGUUUUCGUUCAUAAUCUGUUAUGGUUACCACCUUAUGCGGUACUGUGGUGUGUAUCCAGCUGCUCAGGGGAGCUUUUUGCUCAGGGUCGGUUCCAACCCUGACACCAACAGUCCAAGGGACCUAACAAUUAAAAAAAGGGGACAUAUUACAACAUCAAAACAAACAAAAAUACAAACACUGCAUACACCGGUGACAAGGGUGCUUGGUGGAAGUUGCACCCACACUUAGCCCACCCAACCUUGACCCUUUUGUCCAGUAAUUUUUAAAUAUUUAAGGGCCCCGCAUUCCACUAACACUUACCACACAACUUACAUCCUAUAUUCCCCCAAGAGUUUACAAAUUAGCACAUCAUAUCGACUAUUAACACUUACACAUAUAAAUAAUUUAUUGACAUAUCGAGAGUUGACUUAAUCCUAACAAAUAAAUAUUUGAACAAUGUUGACUUUAAAAUUCCUAACACCUGAAUCUGUCUUUAUGUGAGCCAAUCGCUCGGGCUACUACAGUCUACGAAGAGUACAUAAAAAUUUUUGCCAAUCUGGCCACUUUUUGCAUCUACUCCCUCCCUAAUAGAGCUCUGUUAAGGGGGUAUUAUGGACGUGACCUUAUGUCCAAAAUUACCAAUAAACUGGAACUCUCCCUUCGUAUGACGGUCUAACCCUACGCUCAGGUAUAUAACCGGGCGUUAGAAAUUUUCACAAUAUAAAAAUCUUAACCUAAAUUCUAUACACUAAGGACAAUCACACUUAAACUACAGACAAUUACAUUAAAUUAAACUAGUCAGUACAAAAUUUUGGUGUCAUUCCAUUUUUCAUUCAAAUUAAUUAUUAAUCAAAAUUCUCUUCUUUUUUUCCAGGCCGCAGGAGGAAGAUAUAUAUGCCACUUGGCCGCACCAACCGUUCAGGACUCGAUAUUGAUGAUCUUUUUGACCUUUUCGGCAUCAGACCUACCGAGCCGACCACUGUUUGAAUACCGGUGCUUUGGCGGACCGGGGCUUGGCCUCACUCACGGACUUUCUGGGCAGCAGCGCUUCUCUUGCGUUUAUAUAAAAAAAAAAUCCGCUGACCUCCUCCACAGACAAAUUGGAGGGGUCAGAAUUCUAGCCGUUUUCACGUUGGGUGUUGUCUUAAAAAGAAGAAACACUUCAUAGAAACACCAAAAGAAAAACAUACACUAUUCGAACAACAAAAACUUACAAAUUCUUGGUCACACACACACAUACACAAUAAACAGCAAAUAAAAAAUAAAAAUUACUGAAAAUUUCCUUCCAACUUUGUGUUUUAAUUGGUUCACUUAUUUGAUUUUCAGUUAAGAAACAAUUUUAUUUUCCGUCCACCAAAACUUCAAUGGCGAAUUUUCUCUCCGUUACCCCUUUUAUACGGGAGCCAUUAGACGCGAUUUUCCCACUUUUCCAUAUUUUUUUUGUUCUUCCUUGUUUAUUAUGUUCCUCUUUAAUCGCACUUUGGGAACCCUAUCGUCACCCAUGGUUGCAUUUGACGUUAGUCCCAUGGACUAAGGGGAACAUUGGCAACACUUUGACACCCAACCGUAUCCGGUUCAUUCAUUUUUCAUUUCAUUAAUUGCGAAUGUAAAAACUUCGCUCCGCCGGUAAAAAAAUAAUCUUCGUCAACCACGGUACGCACGCAACAAAACUUCGCCAUUUUCACACAAAAAGUGAGAAAAUGGUGAUGUGCGUUACUGGAUUGUGAUAUUUUCCUGCAAAGCAUCAGGAUCAAAUAAUUUAUUACAAAAGAAGAAUGGAUUUUGAUCCACAAAAAAAAACACGCUGCUGUGCUCCCACAUUGACUUGGAUAUAUGG